GGGGGCGAAAAGGGUUCGACGGGGGUAGAAAAACCCGAGUCGCAGGCCGGGGUUGAGCCGGCCCCGUUAAAAAGGCUCACCUUAAAGUAAAGGCAGACGAUUACUCUGUCGCUCUGGCCGCUUAAAUAGGCCAGCGUCCACUCAAGCCUGGCCCGCGGGUUUGAGCUGGGCGCCGAUUAGCGGGCUGGCCGAAGGCUGGCCGACCAGGGGUCGGCCCGAGGCGAGAUCAAUCCCUGGUUGGUCCCGACCCAGCCUGUCCGUGGGCGGGGCCGGGGCGAGAUCAAAUCACGGACUAAGCCUGUAGUGGCUCUGGCGGACUACUUUCGGACGGGGGUUCGAUUCCCCCCGCCUCCACCA
rnacentral:tmRNA from 1 species